GACGAACGCUGGCGGCGUGCCUAAUACAUGCAAGUCGAGCGGAUUGAUGGGAGCUUGCUCCCUGAUAUCAGCGGCGGACGGGUGAGUAACACGUGGGCAACCUGCCUAUAAGACUGGGAUAACUUCGGGAAACCGGAGCUAAUACCGGAUAUUUCCUUUCCUCACAUGGGGGAAGGCCAAAAGAUGGUUUACGCUAUCACUUAUAGAUGGGCCCGCGGCGCAUUAGCUAGUUGGUGAGGUAAUGGCUCACCAAGGCAACGAUGCGUAGCCGACCUGAGAGGGUGAUCGGCCACACUGGGACUGAGACACGGCCCAGACUCCUACGGGAGCAGCAGUAGGGAUCUUCCGCAAUGGAACGAAAGUCUGACGGAGCAACGCCGCGUGAGUGAUGAAGGUUUUCGAUCGUAAACUCUGUUGUUAGGGAAGAACAAGUACCGGAGUAAC
rnacentral:rRNA from 1 species